rnacentral:tRNA from 1 species
CCUUCGAUAGCUCAGCUGGUAGAGCGGAGGACUGUAGAUGAAUUGAAGGCGGUUAUCCUUAGGUCGCUGGUUCGAUUCCGGCUCGAAGGA